rnacentral:rRNA from 1 species
UUAAUGGAGAGUUUGAUCCUGGCUCAGGACGAACGCUGGCGGCGUGCCUAAUACAUGCAAGUCGAGCGGGGUUAGUUAGAAGCUUGCUUCUAACUAACCUAGCGGCGGACGGGUGAGUAACACGUAGGCAACCUGCCCACAAGACAGGGAUAACUACCGGAAACGGUAGCUAAUACCCGAUACAUCCUUUUCCUGCAUGGGAGAAGGAGGAAAGGCGGAGCAAUCUGUCACUUGUGGAUGGGCCUGCGGCGCAUUAGCUAGUUGGUGGGGUAAAGGCCUACCAAGGCGACGAUGCGUAGCCGACCUGAGAGGGUGAUCGGCCACACUGGGACUGAGACACGGCCCAGACUCCUACGGGAGGCAGCAGUAGGGAAUCUUCCGCAAUGGGCGAAAGCCUGACGGAGCAACGCCGCGUGAGUGAUGAAGGUUUUCGGAUCGUAAAGCUCUGUUGCCAGGGAAGAACGUCUUGUAGAGUAACUGCUACAAGAGUGACGGUACCUGAGAAGAAAGCCCCGGCUAACUACGUGCCAGCAGCCGCGGUAAUACGUAGGGGGCAAGCGUUGUCCGGAAUUAUUGGGCGUAAAGCGCGCGCAGGCGGCUCUUUAAGUCUGGUGU